rnacentral:tRNA from 1 species
GGUGGCUCAGUGGUAGAGCACUUGCUUUGCAUGCGUGAGGCCCUGGGUUCGAUUCCUCAGCACCA